CUGCAAGUCGAACGCUUCUUUCCUCCCGAGUGCUUGCACUCAAUUGGAAAGAGGAGUGGCGGACGGGUGAGUAACACGUGGGUAACCUACCCAUCAGAGGGGGAUAACACUUGGAAACAGGUGCUAAUACCGCAUAACAGUUUAUGCCGCAUGGCAUAAGAGUGAAAGGCGCUUUCGGGUGUCGCUGAUGGAUGGACCCGCGGUGCAUUAGCUAGUUGGUGAGGUAACGGCUCACCAAGGCCACGAUGCAUAGCCGACCUGAGAGGGUGAUCGGCCACACUGGGACUGAGACACGGCCCAGACUCCUACGGGAGGCAGCAGUAGGGAAUCUUCGGCAAUGGACGAAAGUCUGACCGAGCAACGCCGCGUGAGUGAAGAAGGUUUUCGGAUCGUAAAACUCUGUUGUUAGAGAAGAACAAGGACGUUAGUAACUGAACGUCCCCUGACGGUAUCUAACCAGAAAGCCACGGCUAACUACG
rnacentral:rRNA from 1 species